rnacentral:rRNA from 1 species
UCUGGUAGUGAUGGCGGAGGGGUUCCACGCGUACCCAUCCCGAACACGACCGUUAAGCCCUCCAGCGCCGAUGGUACUUGGACCGCAGGGUCCUGGGAGAGUAGGACGCCGCCAGGC